rnacentral:lncRNA from 10 species
UCUUUUUUCAGCCUCCGCAGCAGCCAGCCAUCACUAACAGAAGUAAGGGGAGAAGUCUUAGCAACUUCAUUAGACAUUGUGAGGAAACCAAGACAAGUAUCCACAAAAGGAGAAACAUGGGCCGGGCGCGGUGGCUCACGCCUAUAAUCCCAGCACUUUGGGAGGCCGAGGUGGACGGAUCACAGGGUCAGGAGAUUGAGACCAUCCUGGCUAACAUGGUGAAACCCCGUCUCUACUAAAAUACAAAAAAAAAAUUAGCUGGGCGUGGUUGCGGGCGCCUGUGGUCCCAGCUAUUCGGGAGGCUGAGGCAGGAGAAUAGCACCAACCCGGGAGGCGGAGCUUGCAGUGAGCAGAGAUUGCGCCACUGCACUCCAGCCUGGGCAACACAGACUCCGCCUCAAAAAAAAAACAAAAAACAAAAGGAGAAAUACAGGAUGUUUUACAGUGCUUGUGGUGCUUGAUUUUUAUAUCUUGUCAUUAAGCUAUGCCUUUAUUUCCUUUGUGUUAAACCUCUAUUCUUGUUUACACCUGUUUUCUAUCUGUAGUUCAAAAACAUAAUGAAUAUUUCAUCUAUGUAGUUUCUUUGUAAAGUCUUUUGAGCUCUAACC